rnacentral:rRNA from 1 species
UGGGGAAUAUUGCACAAUGGGCGCAAGCCUGAUGCAGCCAUGCCGCGUGUAUGAAGAAGGCCUUCGGGUUGUAAAGUACUUUCAGCGGGGAGGAAGGUGUUGUGGUUAAUAACCACAGCAAUUGACGUUACCCGCAGAAGAAGCACCGGCUAACUCCGUGCCAGCAGCCGCGGUAAUACGGAGGGUGCAAGCGUUAAUCGGAAUUACUGGGCGUAAAGCGCACGCAGGCGGUCUGUCAAGUCGGAUGUGAAAUCCCCGGGCUCAACCUGGGAACUGCAUUCGAAACUGGCAGGCUGGAGUCUCGUAGAGGGAGGUAGAAUUCCAGGUGUAGCGGUGAAAUGCGUAGAGAUCUGGAGGAAUACCGGUGGCGAAGGCGGCCUCCUGGACGAAGACUGACGCUCAGGUGCGAAAGCGUGGGGAGCAAACA